rnacentral:rRNA from 1 species
CCUACGGGUGGCAGCAGUCGAGAAUCAUUCACAAUGGGGGAAACCCUGAUGGUGCGACGCCGCGUGGGGGAAUGAAGGUCUUCGGAUUGUAAACCUCUGUCGUGUGGGAGCAAAUUAAAAAGAUAGUACCACAAGAGGAAGAGACGGCUAAAUCUGUGCCAGCAGCCGCGGUAAUACAGAGGUCUCAAGCGUUGGUCGGAAUCACUGGGGGUAAAGCGUGCGUAGGCUGUUUCGUAAGUAGUGUGGAAAAGGCGCGGGCUCAACCCGCGGACGGCAGAUGAUAGUGCGAGACUAGAGUAAUGGAGGGGGAACCGGAAUUCUCGGUGUAGCAGUGAAAUGCAUAGAUAUCGAGAGGAACGCUCGUGGCGAAGGCGGGUUCCCGGACAUUAACUGACGCUGAGGCACGAAGGCCAGGGGAGCGAAAGGGAUUAGAGACCCGAGUAGUC